ACCCGCUGCGCUCUGCCCAGAGCAGAAGCCCGGCCGGCCGGCCCACGGGCGGGAGGACGCGCCUCCGCUCGGGCGGAGGCGGCGCGGUGGCUGAUCAGAGCGCGUAGGGCUUCGCCGGGGCCGGGAGCUGGGCGCGGUCCUGCUCAGCCCAGCUCACCGCGCGCCGGCCCUCGGCGCCCUGGUUCUGCGGAUCAGGAGUUGAAACCAGCACCUUCCCUUUCUCUGAGUCCUGCCUCCUUCUGCAGAAGGGAGCUCAAAAGAACUUUGUUGUUUUGCCUUUUACUCUGGGGUGAAAGCGGCAGGAGGUAUGUGAGAUGGUGAAAUGAUUUGCUUCUGCCAUGCUGGGGUCACGGGUGGAUCGCCCUAAACUCUCGGUGGCCCCCUCAGUAGUUUUGGAAGAGGACCAAGUCCUUGUCUCUCCAGCAGUGGACCUGGAAGAAGGAUGCCGGCUCAGGGACUUCACUGAGAAAAUAAUGAAUGUCAAAGGAAAAGUAAUUCUGUCAAUGCUGGUUGUCUCAACUGUGAUCAUUGUGUUUUGGGAAUUUAUCAACAGCACAGAAGGCUCUUUCUUGUGGAUAUAUCACUCAAAAAACCCAGAAGUUGAUGACAGCAGUGCUCAGAAGGGCUGGUGGUUUCUGAGCUGGUUUAACAAUGGGAUCCACAAUUAUCAACAAGGGGAAGAAGACAUAGACAAAGAAAAAGGAAGAGAGGAGACCAAAGGAAGGAAAAUGACACAACAGAGCUUCGGCUAUGGGACUGGUUUAAUCCAAACUUGAAGGAAUCCGAAUAACUAAACUGGACUCUGGUUUUCUGACUCAGUCCUUCUAGAAGACCUGGACUGAGAGAUCAUGCGGUUAAGGAGUGUGUAACAGGCGGACCACCUGUUGGGACUGCGAGAUUCUCAAGGGGAAGGACUGGGUCUCAUUUCUCCCAUCUCAGCGCUUAGCAGGAUGACCUGAUAUAAUGAUCAUUACUUGGAGGAGUUCAUAACAUCUGCUAAUAGGUACUUCAUGGUUGGCCACAAAGUCAUAUUUUACAUCAUGGUGGAUGAUGUCUCCAAGCUGCCGUUUAUAGAGCUGGGUCCUCUGCAUUCCUUCAAAAUGUUUGAGGUCAAGCCAGAGAAGAGGUGGCAAGACAUCAGCAUGAUGCGUAUGAAGAUCACUGGGGAGCACAUCUUGGCCCACAUCCAACACGAGGUCGACUUCCUCUUCUGCAUGGAUGUGGACCAGGUCUUCCAAGACCAUUUUGGGGUGGAGACCCUAGGCCAGUCAGUGGCUCAGCUACAGGCUGGCGGUACAAGGCAGAUCCCUAUGACUUUACCUAGGAGAGGUGGAAAGAGUCAGCAGGAUACAUUCCAUUUGGCCAGGGGAUUUUUAUUACCAUGCAGCCAUUUCUGGAGGAACACCCAUUCAGGUUCUCAACAUCACCCAGGAGUGCUUUAAGGGAAUCCUCCUGGACAAGAAAAAUGACAUAGAAGCCAAGUGGCAUGAUGAAAGCCACCUAAACAAGUAUUUCCUUCUCAAUAAACCCUCUAAAAUCUUAUCCCUAAAAUACUGCUGGGAUUAUCAUAUAGGCCUGCCUUCAGAUAUUAAAACUGUCAAGUGAUCGUGGCAGACAAAAGAGUAUAAUUUGGUUAGAAAUAAUGUCUGACUUCAAAUUGUGCCAGUAGAUUUCUGAAUUUAAGAGAGAAAUAUUCUGGCUACUUCCUCAGAAAAGUAACACUUAAUUUUAACUUCAAAAAAUACUAAUGAAACACCAACAGGGCAAAAACAUACCAUUCCUCCUUGUAACUUGGGGCUUUGUAAUGUGGAAGAAUGAAUCUAGGGCAAUCAGAUAUAAAUUCCCAGUGAUUUCUUAUCUAUUCUGGGUUUGGGGGAAAUACUAUCAACUGAACCAAAAAUAACUUGUCAUAGGCAGAGAUAAAGCCAGAAACACUCUACACAUGCCAGAUGACAUCUGGAGAAAAGGGUGCUAAGGGAAGCGUUUGGCAGCAAGAUAUGAUUGUAAGGGGUUGUCCCUUGAGUUCAAUGUCUGCCUAUUUCUGAUGGGUCUAAAGCAACAUGGAGUUACUGUGCAGCAGAACUCUCAGUAAAGACACCAUUUGCCUUGGCAAUCCUCAAAAAGCUUCAAUAGCAGAUUGCUUCAGACCAUCUGUAGUCCGUCCUUUUCUCAUCUGGAUGUUGUUUGGCUUCUGUGCGAAAGAUUGGUGGAGUGUCCCAGUAGAUAUCAUGGUGGUGUGUGAUCAGAGUCCCAAGGAACCUGAAUGAGCCAAGGUGCCCAGCAUGAAGUCAAAACAAAGCCUUGACAUGAGUUUGCCAUGAAAUAGCGAAGAGAGAGUGGAAGAGAGGAGCCAAUCACUGUGGGGCAGUGCCACCCUGAGGGCACUUAGGGUAUGGGGUUGGUGCUUAAAUACAUCACAGAUCCAGGUACUGAAUGGGAGGAAGUGUGGGUGAUUUCCAAUCUCAUUGACCCUAUGUUCAGGGACUUGAACGGAAGAUGUUUCUUGUGUUGCCUAAGUGGUAUUCAGUCUACCAGACUCUGCAACUUGCAUCUUCAAAUCCUUGGUAAAGAGAUGUGGAUGGUGUCAGAGAAGGCAAAGGCCUGCAGUGGAUUGAAGAGGCUUGCAAGCAGUUCUGUUUCUAGGAUGUGGGCUUCAUCAGAAGACACUCGGUCACCACUUAGCUAGUCUAAACCUCAGGGUUCCUCAGCCCAUCAUACCCCAACUUGGAGGACUGACAUCAAGGAGUAGACUGGAGAAACAGCCCUCCCAUCAAGUAACCUCUUGUUCUCUCCUGCUCCAUCUGCACUAUAGAAGUGUAAUAAUUAGACAUACUUGGCAAAAUGGCUAAUUGAUUUGGUAACAGAAGCAUGAGCCAUAACAAUGGAAGAUCUAGUUAUCAUGACUGAACAGCUUAACAUUCAAUUCCCUUCUCUAAGAGAAGCUGUGAAAUCCUACAUAUUAUUUAAAGUUAACCAAAUCAAUGUAAAGGGAGUUAGGAGACAGUGUGUACCUAUGCACGUAUAUUUAUGUUUUGCUUGUGUUCCAGUCUCGGUCAUUUGUUUCCAUUUUCAAGCAAUUUAUUUGAAGAGCCAUUGCACUAGCCUGAUGUAUACUGCAAUGAGCUUCUUUGAUAAAAUGAAACUUAGAUUUUUCUCGACCAUUUCACCGUGCCUCCUACUUCAUUUUUUGCCAGAAAAUCUCACAUCCAACAAAACAAAACAAAAACCCUGAAUUAGUGGGCUUUGAAAAGGAAAAAGCAGGGCUUUGAAAAAGUAGAUCACACAUCAGUUAAGACUCCUGCUUCUCUAUUAGUCAGGUUGUCUUGGAUUCAGUCUGGAGUAGGCAGAGCUUAAGGGUUUUUAAGUCCUGACCCAAAGAAAUGAUCUAGCCUGAAAGUUUAGAGCAAAGGACUAAUGUUUACUUUUAAAGGAAUUUCUUGAUUUUUUUAAAAAACUUCAUUAAAGUUUAAAUCCCCAAUGGACAAAUUCAUAAUCUUGUUAAUCGUUAUUACUAAACUUUUUAAAAAAUGUCCCAAUUUACAAUUAAAUAAAUUACUUUCUCAGUA